rnacentral:rRNA from 1 species
AAAUUGAAGAGUUUGAUCAUGGCUCAGAUUGAACGCUGGCGGCAGGCCUAACACAUGCAAGUCGAACGGUAACAGGAAGCAGCUUGCUGCUUUGCUGACGAGUGGCGGACGGGUGAGUAAUGUCUGGGAAACUGCCUGAUGGAGGGGGAUAACUACUGGAAACGGUGGCUAAUACCGCAUAACGUCGCAAGACCAAAGAGGGGGACCUUCGGGCCUCUUGCCAUCAGAUGUGCCCAGAUGGGAUUAGCUAGUUGGUGAGGUAACGGCUCACCAAGGCGACGAUCCCUAGCUGGUCUGAGAGGAUGACCAGCCACACUGGAACUGAGACACGGUCCAGACUCCUACGGGAGGCAGCAGUGGGGAAUAUUGCACAAUGGGCGCAAGCCUGAUGCAGCCAUGCCGCGUGUAUGAAGAAGGCCUUCGGGUUGUAAAGUACUUUCAGCGGGGAGGAAGGUGUUGUGGUUAAUAACCACAGCAAUUGACGUUACCCGCAGAAGAAGCACCGGCUAACUCCGUGCCAGCAGCCGCGGUAAUACGGAGGGUGCAAGCGUUAAUCGGAAUUACUGGGCGUAAAGCGCACGCAGGCGGUCUGUCAAGUCGGAUGUGAAAUCCCCGGGCUCAACCUGGGAACUGCAUUCGAAACUGGCAGGCUUGAGUCUUGUAGAGGGGGGUAGAAUUCCAGGUGUAGCGGUGAAAUGCGUAGAGAUCUGGAGGAAUACCGGUGGCGAAGGCGGCCCCCUGGACAAAGACUGACGCUCAGGUGCGAAAGCGUGGGGAGCAAACAGGAUUAGAUACCCUGGUAGUCCACGCCGUAAACGAUGUCUACUUGGAGGUUGUGCCCUUGAGGCGUGGCUUCCGGAGCUAACGCGUUAAGUAGACCGCCUGGGGAGUACGGCCGCAAGGUUAAAACUCAAAUGAAUUGACGGGGGCCCGCACAAGCGGUGGAGCAUGUGGUUUAAUUCGAUGCAACGCGAAGAACCUUACCUGGUCUUGACAUCCACAGAACUUUCCAGAGAUGGAUUGGUGCCUUCGGGAACUGUGAGACAGGUGCUGCAUGGCUGUCGUCAGCUCGUGUUGUGAAAUGUUGGGUUAAGUCCCGCAACGAGCGCAACCCUUAUCC